CAACAUACCUUUGUUUUUGUUUUCUACCUGUUAUAAAACCUUCUGCACUUCUUUUUAGUACUCAUAUGAACAUUUGAUGACUGCUGCUGUGAAGAUUUUAUCAUUGAAACAAUUGUUUCCUGAGCACUUCAUUUCUUCAGCAGCCAGACGGAUGGAGGCAAUGGCCCUUCCCCCUGAGUUCAAGGGAACUUUGCUCAGUCCUGGACCAUCCAGGUGUUUGACAGAUCUAAGUUGAUAUCUGAAGCUUCAGGUGGAAUUUUGCUGCCUCAGGAUCUUGCAACAGGUGAAGCUCAUGAAAAUGUCAUAGGUCAGCAACCAAACCGGCCAUGGUUACUGUUUGGAGAGAAU